ACGCACGCUGGCGGCGUGCUUCACCCCUGCCAGUCGAACGGGUCUGCCCUGUUUUUUGCGGGGUGGGUCAGUGGCGAACGGGUGAGUAACACGUGAGUAACCUGCCCCUCACUUCUGGAUAACCGCUUGAAAGGGUGGCUAAUACGGGGUGUUCUGGCUGUGCCGCAUGGUGUGGCUGGGAAAGAUUCACUUUUGUGGUGUUUUGGUGGGGGAUGGGCUCGCGGCCUAUCAGCGUGUUGGUGGGGUGAUGGCCUGCCAAGGCUUUGACGGGUAGCCGGCCUGAGAGGGUGGGCGGUCACACUGGGACUGAGAUACGGCCCAGACUGCUGCGGGAGGCAGCAGUGGGGGGUAUUGCACAAUGGGCGGAAGCCUGAUGCAGCGACGUCGCGUGAGGGAUGGAGGCCUGCGGGUUGUGAACCUCUUUCGCCGGUGAAGAAGGUCCUGCUCUUUGUGGUGGGGUUGACGGUAGCCGGGUUAUGAAGCGCCGGCUAACUACGUG
rnacentral:rRNA from 1 species